CCCCUAGAUGUUCUGGGCCGCACGCGCGCUACACUGAACAGUUCAACAAGUCUUAACCUUGGCCGAUAGGUCUGGGUAAUCUUUGAACGCUGUUCGUGAUUGGGAUAGACCUUUGCAAUUAUGGGUCUUCAACGAGGAAUUCCUAGUAAACGCAAGUCAUCAGCUUGCAUUGAUUACGUCCCUGCCCUUUGUACACACCGCCCGUCGCACCUACCGAUUGAAUGGUCCGGUGAAAUCUCGGGACGGCGGCUUGGUCGCUUGCGUCCGACUGCUGGAACUUGAUUAAACCAUAUCAUUUAGAGGAAGGUGAANUCGUANCA
rnacentral:rRNA from 1 species